UAUAUAUAUAUAUAUAUGACUGUUGUCCCCUGCUCACCACGGGGAGAUGGAAGAAGGACCACAAGAAACAUCUCCAGACUUUUUCCUUGACCGUACCCGUAGUUCAUAGCCUCUGACUUUCGGUCAUCUGCCACAUGGUUAUGCUCGUUUUGUGUUUUGAUAAUAGUCAGACUAUCAGAAUCCGUGGUAACUGGAUUUACACGCUUAUAUGGUUCAUUAGUAAGAUAUGUUUUAGGACACUGACCUUCCUAUAUGUAUGAUCGUCGCUGAUUAAAGAAUUGACUACUCGGCUUAGUUUUAAUGUGCAAUAUGUCCAUCAUGUUACAACGAAGUUCCAGAACAAUAUGAAUCAAAAUUACUAAAUUAAACAUAAGUGAACAACAUGUAUAACCAGAUUUUACCAAUGGUAUAGUACAUGAACAAGUAUUAACUAACCUGUAAAUCUAAUUAGGAGCAAAUAUAAAAUCGGCGCAAAUGAAAAAAUGAAAUCGGCGCAAAUGAAAGAAUGAAAAUUUUCAAAAUCGGCGCAAAUGUCAUACGCCC
rnacentral:lncRNA from 1 species